rnacentral:rRNA from 1 species
AUUGAACGCUGGCGGCAUGCUUUACACAUGCAAGUCGAACGGCAGCGCGGGCUUCGUCCUGGCGGCGAGUGGCGAACGGGUGAGUAAUGCAUCGGAACGUGCCCAGUAGUGGGGGAUAGCCCGGCGAAAGCCGGAUUAAUACCGCAUACGACCUGAGGGUGAAAGCGGGGGACCGAAAGGCCUCGCGCUAUUGGAGCGGCCGAUGUCGGAUUAGCUAGUUGGUGGGGUAAAGGCUUACCAAGGCGACGAUCCGUAGCUGGUCUGAGAGGACGACCAGCCACACUGGGACUGAGACACGGCCCAGACUCCUACGGGAGGCAGCAGUGGGGAAUUUUGGACAAUGGGGGCAACCCUGAUCGAGCCAUGCCGCGUGCGGGAAGAAGGCCUUCGGGUUGUAAAACGCUUUUGUUCGGGAAGAAAACCUCUGGGCUAAUACCCCGGGGGGAUGACGGUACCGGAAGAAUAAGCAACGGCUAACUACGUG